GUUUUCUUGUUGCAGGCCAACUCCAGUGAACGUUCCACAGACCCGAAAACUACUAAGGAGGUUCCUUUCAUCAGCGACUGGGGAAAGGCUCCCUUUUAUGGGUCUUCUGACGUUUUCUGGGAGUAAGUGAAGAAUUAUGAUCGUACAACCUUUCCUCCUCCUGAGAAAGCAGGCUUAUUUCUAUAUGUUACGGCUUGCGCAAGUUUAGACAGCUUUCCCUAUUCUGCUCGCAUUCCUCGUAUGUGUAUAGAAAAACAGGAAUACCCCUACAGUCCCAUUCAUUUCAUAUCUGACUCAUCCAAUCGUCUUCAGGGGUGGCAACAUUGGACCGACGAGGUUCUCGCAAAUUCUGAUUAUGUGGAUAUA
rnacentral:lncRNA from 1 species